AGCAGCCGCGGUAAUUCCAGCUCCAAUAGCGUAUAUUAAAGUUGUUGCAGUUAAAAGCUCGUAGUUGAAUUUCGGGAUCAAAGAAUCGGUCAUGCCUUGGUAUGUACUGGUUUUAUUGGUUCUCACCUUCUAAAGAACCAUGAUGUCAUUCAUUUGAUGUUAUGGGGAAUUAGGACUGUUACCUUGAAAAAAUUAGAGUGUUUAAAGCAAGCUUACGCUUGAAUACAUUAGCAUGGAAUAAUGAAAUAGGACAUCAGAUUCUAUUUUGUUGGUUUCUAGGAUCGAUGUAAUGAUUAGUAGGGAUAGUUAGGGGCAUUAGUAUUCAAUUGUCAGAGGUGAAAUUCUUGGAUUUAUUGAAGACUAACUACUGCGAAAGCAUUUGCCAAGGAUGUUUUCAUUAAUCAAGAACGAAAGUUAGAGGAUCGAAGACGAUCAGAUACCGUCGUAGUCUUAACCAUAAACUAUGCCGACUAGGGAUCGGAUGAUGUUAAUUUUUUAAUGACUCAUUCGGCGCCUUACG
rnacentral:rRNA from 1 species